rnacentral:rRNA from 1 species
UUGAAUAGGCGGGAGAGACUAUCUCAGUGCGUCCCGAAGAAGGAUGCUUUUCCACUGUAUAACUAGCCGUGAGAAUAAAGGGAGGGCAAGACUGGUGUCAGCCGCCGCGGUAAUACCAGCCCCCUGAGUGGUGUGGAUGUUUAUUGGGCCUAAAGCGUCCGUAGCUGGCUGUGUCCGUCCCCCGUCAAAUCCACCGUCUCAAGCGUUGGAUCGCGGGUGAUACCGUCCAGCUAGAGGAUGAGACAGGUGGACGGUAUUUCUGGGGUAGGGGUGAAAUCCUUUGAUCCCAGGAGGACCACCAGUGGCGAAGGCUGUUCACUAGAACACGCCUGACGGUCAGGGAUGAAAGCUGGGGUAGCGAACCGGAUUAGAUACCCGGGUAGUCCCAGCUGUAAACGAUGCUCGCUAGGUGUUGGGUCGGCCAUGUGCCGCCCCAGUGCCGCAGGGAAGCCGUUAAGCCAGCCGCCUGGGGAGUACGGCCGCAAGGCUGAAACUUAAAGGAAUGGCG